AACUAGCAUAAAGUCGACCUAAACACACAAACACACACACAAAAAUCAUGCACACAUACAAAAAUACCCUAAACACACCCAAAAUAAUUUAGUUAAUCUUUUCCUAUCGAUUUGUGCUCCGACGACUGCUCCAGUGACAACAGCUCAGCUCAGAUAUGAAUUUUGUUUUAUUUUACAAAAUUUGUGCUUUUUGAGGUUGAUUUAUAAGUGUACUAGUUUAUAUAAUUGCGAAAUUUAUAAUGGUGA
rnacentral:lncRNA from 1 species